rnacentral:rRNA from 11 species
GAUUACUAAAUACAGUACUACAGGCCCCAGAUCCCGUGUGAUCUUGGAUGCUAAGCAGGGUCAUCUUUGCUUAGUACUUGCAUGGGAGACCAUCAAUGAAUACCAUGUGUUGUAGGCU